GACGAACGCUGGCGGCGUGCUUAACACAUGCAAGUCGAGCGGUAAGGCCCUUUCGGGGGUACACGAACGGCGAACGGGUGAGUAACACGUGGGUGACCUGCCCUCAGCUCUGGGAUAAGCCCGGGAAACUGGGUCUAAUACUGGAUAUGACUCCACGGUGCAUGCCGUGGGGUGGAAAGCCUUGUGCGGCUGAGGAUGGGCCCGCGGCCUAUCAGCUUGUUGGUGGGGUGAUGGCCACCAAGGCGACGACGGGUAGCCGGCCUGAGAGGGCGACCGGCCACACUGGGACUGAGACACGGCCCAGACUCCUACGGGAGGCAGCAGUGGGGAAUCUUGCGCAAUGGGCGAAAGCCUGACGCAGCGACGCCGCGUGAGGGAUGACGGCCUGG
rnacentral:rRNA from 1 species